rnacentral:rRNA from 1 species
AUGAACCACGUGCUAAAGAAAGGGUUUGUCAAGGGGACCCAGAACCUACACAAGUUUGCUAGGCGGGUCAAUGCUUGCAUACAAACUCGGAUGCAGAAGGAGAACGAGCAAACAAUGACCAGCAUGACCAAUCCUGUGACAAAAACAACUUACGGCUACGAGGAAGACAUGUCCAUCAAGUACACGAGAGCCGUGUACACCAAGAUGAGGAAUAGGAUGAGAAAGGCAACACUAUUCCGCGCGAAGCGUACAGCAGAGCCAACUAAGUACCUUGUGUACUACCACAACAAGCCUGGCCAUGAUGAUGAAGAAAGAUUUUCCUGGUCAAAGCAUGAAUUCCAGGUUGUAGCUGACCCAGAGAAUGAAAUAUAUGAGUGUGAAUGCAAGCUCUGGACACACACAGGCAUGUUCUGCCUUCACAUCAUGAACAUACUUGACUACCUCAAGCCUGACAAUUUUCCAAACAAGUAUAUCCUCAAACGGUACACAAAGACUACAAGAUCACAACCAACUUUUGAUACAAGGGACUACAACACAACCGCAUCGGAUGGCAGCUCAAGCCUAUCGAAGCAAGACAUCUUGCUGCAGCUGAAUUUGAUGGUUAACAAGAAAGCGAUGAGACGUGACCAGCAAUAUGACAGAGCAUACUAUGUUCUCAAGAGGCUUGUGGAAGAGCUUGAUGCAAUACAUUCAGAAAAUCAAGCGGAUGCUGACGAAAGGAUGGCUGAAGAGGACGCUGAAAGCCUGAAAUUGAAGAUGACCUUCAUUAUUAUGCAGCUGAAAUGCUCAACACCGUCGCUGAAGCAAACCAAUGCAAGCAGGAUGAUGGCCAAUCAAUGGAGCAGCGACAGCAAGAGACGAUGA